rnacentral:rRNA from 1 species
AUACGUAGGAGGCAAGCGUUGUUCGGAAUUACUGGGCUUAAAGAGCGUGUAGGCGGAAUACCAGGUGCUUUGUGAAAGCCCUCGGCUCAACCGAGGAAUUGCUCAGCAAACCGGUAUUCUUGAGGCGGGUAGAGGUGACUGGAACGACUGGUGGAGCGGUGAAAUGCGUAGAUAUCAGUUGGAACGCCGGAGGCGAAAGCGGGUCACUGGGCCUUGCCUGACGCUGAGACGCGAAAGCGUGGGUAGCAAACAGGAUUAGAAACCCCAGUAGUCC